ensembl:lncRNA
CCCCACGAUGGCGGCGAGUGCCUUGGCUGGACGUCCCCGCGAAGGGACGGGGACGCAGGGCCGACCCUCUGCUCAGCGCUGGCGAAGCUCUGGCAUAUGCAAAAACUCGCGCGGACGUGUAAAUAGAGUUACUUGAGGUUCUUCUUGUAAUCGAGUCGUGGUAUCUCUUUUCUAGUUUGUGUCACUGCUCCUCUCCCCCCCACCUCUCCUCGGCCCCAAAGGAACGUUGCGACGCUUUGCGUUUCUCCCUCCGCCACUCGGGAAGCAAACCCCGGCGCCCUCCUCCCCCCGGGGGCAAAAAGGAGAGGGAAAACAAGGAGAAAAUGAUAAAAAGCAGAGAGAGAGAGAGAGGCUGCGUGUGGCUGUGUGUGUGUGUGUGGCUGUGGCUGUGUGUCAGACUCAGGAUCCCCGCGGAUGGAGCGCCGGACACCAACGCCGAUGGACGGACGCACCGUUUGCUGGCAACACUUUAGCACAAAGUUGGAAGUUUGCACUAAAAAAAAACAAAAAACCCAGAGAAAAUAAGGAUAAAAACGAAAAAAAAAAGAGAUGAGAAAAAGAGAGAAGGAAAGGAAGAAACGGGAAGGGAAAGGAAGGGGGAGGAAAAAGAAGGGAGAAGGAAAAAGAGAUGGGAAGGAAAUGAGUGAGAAAUGGGGAAAAAAAGUGAAUGAUUAGGAAAAAAUGAGACAGAUGUGAGAAAAGAUUAAAAAUUGGAAAAAAUAAGAAAAAAUAGGGAAGAAAUUGGGGAAAAAGUGAGAAAAAUGAGGAAAAAAUUGGGAAAAAUUGGGGAAAAAUGAGGAAAAAAUUGGGAAAAAAUGGGAAAAAAAUAGGAAAAAAUUGGGAAAAAAAUGGGAAAAAUUAGGAAAAAAUUGGGGAAAAUGAGGAAAAAAUUUGGGAAAAAAUUGGGGAAAAAAUAGGAAAAAAUUGGGAAAAAAUUGGGGAAAAUGAGGAAAAAAUUGGGGAAAAAAUUGGGAAAAAUGAGGAAAAAAUGGGAAAAAUUGGGGAAAAAAUAGGAAAAAAUUGGGGAAAAAAUGGGAAAAAUGAGGAAAAAAUUGGGGAAAAAAUUGGGAAAAAUGAGGAAAAAAUUGGGAAAAAAUGGAAAAAAAUGAGGAUGAAAAAAGAAUGAGGAAAAAAAGGAGCACUGCGGGAGGGCACAAAGGCUGCGCUGCGCCCCACUGAGCUGCACUGUGAUAAAGUGUUGCCAAAGAGACGGAAAAGGGAUAAGAAAUGCAUUGCUGGGGGGGGUCGGGGGGGGGGGGGGAUAAAAAAAUACAGCGGAAACGGGGGGGAAAAAUGGAUUUCUGCCCGUUUUUGGUACCGAGAGGGGAAAAACGGCGAUCCCGAAUGGCCCCCGCGGUGGUGGUUGGGGGGGGGGGGG